UACGUAGGGCGCAAGCGUUGUCCGGAAUUAUUGGGCGUAAAGAGCUCGUAGGCGGUUUGGCGCGUCUGCUGUGAAAACCUAAGGCUCAACCUUGGGCUUGCAGUGGGUACGGGCAGUCUAGAGUGCGGUAGGGGUGACUGGAAUUCCUGGUGUAGCGGUGAAAUGCGCAGAUAUCAGGAGGAACACCGAUGGCGAAGGCAGGUCACUGGGCCGCAACUGACGCUGAGGAGCGAAAGCAUGGGGAGCGAACAGG
rnacentral:rRNA from 1 species